ensembl:snoRNA
GCUCUGUGAUGAGAAAUAGCCAAAUAUGAGCACUAAAAUGAUCAGCUGAUCUGUGGUGCAUGAUUUAUAUACAGUUCUGGGA